rnacentral:ncRNA from 2 species
CCAUCCCGUGCGGGAGAGUCCCCGGAGCCGGCCACCCCGGCGGCUUGCGGGGCGCCGAAGGGGCAAUUCCUCCCCGGAACCUCUCAGGCGCCAGGACCGCGUGGGCCAG